GCCGCGAUGGUCUAGUGGUAUGAUUCUCGCUUAGGGCUCACCCUGAGUUGUAGCCUGUGGGUUUAACACCCCUGGCAUUACUAAUAUGCGAGAGGUCCCGGGUUCAAUCCCCGGUUGCGGCC